ensembl:snRNA U6 U6 spliceosomal RNA
GUGCUCGCUUCGGCAGCACAUAUACUAAAAUUGGAACGAUACUAGAGAAGAUUAGCAUGGCCCCUGCCCAAAGAUGACAUGUAAAUACGUGAGGCGUUCCAUUUUUUU